UCCCGUUUGACACGGGCAGUCCCUUUAGAGUGCCCAACUUAAUGAUGGCAACUAAAGGCAAGGGUUGCGCUCGUUGCGGGACUUAACCCAACAUCUCACGACACGAGCUGACGACAGCCAUGCAACACCUGUGUAGGGCCCUUGCGGACACCGUGUCUCCACGGCUUUUCCCUACAUGUCAAGCCCUGGUAAGGUUCUUCGCGUCGCGUCGAAUUGAACCACAUGCUCCACCGCUUGUGCGGGCCCCCGUCAAUUUCUUUGAGUUUUAGCCUUGCGACCGUACUCCCCAGGCGGUACGCUUAUCAAUUUCUCUACAGUCCGAACGGCGUCAGAGCCGCUCUAACUCAGCGUACAUCGUUUAGGGCGUGGACUAC
rnacentral:misc_RNA from 1 species